rnacentral:tRNA from 1 species
GGAGGGGUGGCAGAGUGGUCUAUCGUACCGCACUUGAAAUGCGGCGUGGGGAAACCCACCGUGAGUUCGAAUCUCACCCCCUCCG